AUUGAACGCUGGCGGCAGGCCUAACACAUGCAAGUCGAGCGGAUGAAGGGAGCUUGCUCCUGGAUUCAGCGGCGACGGGUGAGUAAUGCCUAGGAAUCUGCCUGGUAGUGGGGGAUAACGUCCGGAAACGGGCGCUAAUACCGCAUACGUCCUGAGGGAGAAAGUGGGGGAUCUUCGGACCUCACGCUAUCAGAUGAGCCUAGGUCGGAUUAGCUAGUUGGUGGGGUAAAGGCCUACCAAGGCGACGAUCCGUAACUGGUCUGAGAGGAUGAUCAGUCACACUGGAACUGAGACACGGUCCAGACUCCUACGGGAGGCAGCAGUGGGGAAUAUUGGACAAUGGGCGAAAGCCUGAUCCAGCCAUGCCGCGUGUGUGAAGAAGGUCUUCGGAUUGUAAAGCACUUUAAGUUGGGAGGAAGGGCAGUAAGUUAAUACCUUGCUGUUUUGACGUUACCAACAGAAUAAGCACCGGCUAACUUCGUG
rnacentral:rRNA from 1 species